rnacentral:sRNA from 1 species
GCGGAGGAAAAGAAACCAACAGGGAUUGCCCUAGUAACGGCGAGUGAAGCGGCAACAGCUCAAAUUUGAAAUCUGGCUUCGGCCCGAGUUGUAAUUUGCAGAGGAUGUUUCUGGCGCGGUGCCUUCCGAGUUCCCUGGAACGGGACGCCACAGAGGGUGAGAGCCCCGUAUGGUUGGACACCAAGCCUGUGUGAAACUCCUUCAACGAGUCGAGUAGUUUGGGAAUGCUGCUCUAAAUGGGAGGUAAAUCUCUUCUAAAGCUAAAUACCGGCCAGAGACCGAUAGCGCACAAGUAGAGUGAUCGAAAGAUGAAAAGCACCUUGAAAAGGGGGUUAAAUAGUACGUGAAAUUGUUGAAAGGGAAGCACUUAUGACCAGACUUGGGCCGGGCGGCUCAUCAGGGGUUCUCCCCUGUGCACUCCGCCCGGCACAGGCCAGCAUCGGUUCUCGUGGGGGGAUAAGACCGUCAGGAACGUAGCACCCUCCGGGGUGUGUUAUAGCCUGGCGGACGAUACCCCCGUGGGGACCGAGGUCCGCGCUCCGCAAGGAUGCUGGCGUAAUGGUCAUCAGUGACCCGUCUUGAAACACGGACCAAGGAGUCGUCCAUUAGAGCGAGCGUUUGGGUGUAAAACCCGCACGCGUAAUGAAAGUGAACGCAGGUGAGAGCUUCGGCGCAUCAUCGACCGAUCCUGAUGUUCUCGGAAGGAUUUGAGUAAGAGUUUUAACGGACGGACCCGAAAGACAGUGAACUAUGCUUGUAUAGGGUGAAGCCAGAGGAAACUCUGGUGGAGGCUCGCAGCGGUUCUGACGUGCAAAUCGAUCGUCAAAUAUGAGCAUGGGGGCGAAAGACUAAUCGAACUGUCUAGUAGCUGGUUACCGC